rnacentral:rRNA from 1 species
AUUGAACGCUGGCGGCAGGCCUAACACAUGCAAGUCGAACGGUAACAGGAAGAAGCUUGCUUCUUUGCUGACGAGUGGCGGACGGGUGAGUAAUGUCUGGGAAACUGCCUGAUGGAGGGGGAUAACUACUGGAAACGGCAGCUAAUACCGCAUAACGUCGCAAGACCAAAGAGGGGGACCUCGGGCCUCUUGCCAUCGGAUGUGCCCAGAUGGGAUUAGCUAGUAGGUGGGGUAACGGCUCACCUAGGCGACGAUCCCUAGCUGGUCUGAGAGGAUGACCAGCCACACUGGAACUGAGACACGGUCCAGACUCCUACGGGAGGCAGCAGUGGGGAAUAUUGCACAAUGGGCGCAAGCCUGAUGCAGCCAUGCCGCGUGUAUGAAGAAGGCCUUCGGGUUGUAAAGUACUUUCAGCGGGGAGGAAGGGAGUAAAGUUAAUACCUUGGCUCAUUGACGUUACCCGCAGAAGAAGCACCGGCUAACUCCGUG